rnacentral:rRNA from 1 species
UGAGUAACACGUAUGCAACCUGCCUGCCACAGCCGGAUAAUCGGGAGAAAUUCCGUCUAAUACGGCAUAAUGCAUCGACGGGACAUCCUGUUGGUGCCAAAGGUUAAUUCCGGUGGCGGAUGGGCAUGCGUCGCAUUAGUUAGUUGGCGGUGUAACGGACCACCAAGACGACGAUGCGUAGGGGUUCUGAGAGGAAGGUCCCCCACACUGGUACUGAGACACGGACCAGACUCAUACGGAAGGCAGCAG